rnacentral:rRNA from 1 species
AUUGAACGCUGGCGGCAUGCCUUACACAUGCAAGUCGAACGGCAGCACGGGUGCUUGCACCUGGUGGCGAGUGGCGAACGGGUGAGUAAUACAUCGGAACGUACCUUAUCGUGGGGGAUAACGCAGCGAAAGCUGUGCUAAUACCGCAUACGCCCUGAGGGGGAAAGCGGGGGAUCGCAAGACCUCGCGCGAUUAGAGCGGCCGAUGCCUGAUUAGCUAGUUGGUGGGGUAAAAGCCCACCAAGGCGACGAUCAGUAGCUGGUCUGAGAAGACGAUCAGCCACACUGGGACUGAGACACGGCCCAGACCCCUACGGGAGGCAGCAGUGGGGAAUUUUGGACAAUGGGGGCAACCCUGAUCCAGCAAUGCCGCGUGAGUGAAGAAGGCCUUCGGGUUGUAAAGCUCUUUUGUCAGGGAAGAAACACCGGCUCUAACACAGUCCGGGAAUGACGGUACCUGAAGAAUAAGCACCGGCUAACUACGUGCCAGCCGCCGCUGUAA